rnacentral:rRNA from 1 species
AUUGAACGCUGGCGGCAGGCUUAACACAUGCAAGUCGAGCGGUAGCACAAGAGAGCUUGCUCUCUGGGUGACGAGCGGCGGACGGGUGAGUAAUGUCUGGGAAACUGCCUGAUGGAGGGGGAUAACUACUGGAAACGGUAGCUAAUACCGCAUAACGUCGCAAGACCAAAGAGGGGGACCUUCGGGCCUCUUGCCAUCAGAUGUGCCCAGAUGGGAUUAGCUAGUAGGUGGGGUAAUGGCUCACCUAGGCGACGAUCCCUAGCUGGUCUGAGAGGAUGACCAGCCACACUGGAACUGAGACACGGUCCAGACUCCUACGGGAGGCAGCAGUGGGGAAUAUUGCACAAUGGGCGCAAGCCUGAUGCAGCCAUGCCGCGUGUAUGAAGAAGGCCUUCGGGUUGUAAAGCACUUUCAGCGAGGAGGAAGGUGGUGAACUUAAUACGUUCAUCAAUUGACGUUACUCGCAGAAGAAGCACCGGCUAACUCCGUG